GAUGAACGCUAGCGGCAGGCCUAACACAUGCAAGUCGAGGGGUAGAAGUUGCUCGCAACUUUGAGACCGGCGCACGGGUGCGUAACGCGUAUGCAAUCUACCUUGUACAGAGGGACAGCCCAGAGAAAUUUGGAUUAAUACCUCAUAGUAUUAUUGAGUGGCAUCACUUGAUUAUUAAAGUUCCAACGGUACAAGAUGAGCAUGCGUCCUAUUAGCUAGAUGGUAAGGUAACGGCUUACCAUGGCUACGAUAGGUAGGGGUCCUGAGAGGGGGAUCGCCCACACUGGUACUGAGACACGGACCAGACUCCUACGGGAGGCAGCAGUGAGGAAUAUUGGUCAAUGGGCGCAAGCCUGAACCAGCCAUGCCGCGUGCAGGAAGACGGUCCUAUGGAUUGUAAACUGCUUUUGUACGGGAAGAAACACUCCGACGUGUCGGAGCUUGACGGUACCGUAAGAAUAAGGAUCGGCUAACUCCGUGCCAGCAGCCGCGGUAAAAC
rnacentral:rRNA from 1 species